rnacentral:rRNA from 1 species
UACGAAGGGGGCUAGCGUUGUUCGGAAUUACUGGGCGUAAAGCGCACGUAGGCGGAUCGAUCAGUCAGGGGUGAAAUCCCAGGGCUCAACCCUGGAACUGCCUUUGAUACUGUCGAUCUGGAGUAUGGAAGAGGUGAGUGGAAUUCCGAGUGUAGAGGUGAAAUUCGUAGAUAUUCGGAGGAACACCAGUGGCGAAGGCGGCUCACUGGUCCAUUACUGACGCUGAGGUGCGAAAGCGUGGGGAGCAAGCCGG